rnacentral:misc_RNA from 1 species
CUCGCACAUAAAAAGACAAACAAAAUUUUUAAGUACCAGCAUGGAAUUUCUCAAGGGCUUGAAGCUGAAGUGGCGAUGUUCUCCUCAUUUCCAUCUGUCCCCUCCUCUGCUUCAAUCAACUUAUCAGCCGUGCUUGAAUUAAUCAUACUGGAUUCUUCGUAGACUGACUAUAACUAAAGAAAGGACAAAAAAAAAAAAAAUUCAC